AGGACGAACGCUGGCGGCGUGCUUAACACAUGCAAGUCGAGCGAGGCCCUUCCUUCGGGGAGGUGCCCUAGCGGCGAACGGGUGAGUAACACGUGGGCAACCUGCCCCUAGCACUGGGAUAACUCCGGGAAACCGGGGCUAAUACCGGAUAUGACCUUCUUGGGCAUCCUCGAAGGUGUAAAGGAUUCUGGCUAGGGAUGGGCCCGCGGCCUAUCAGCUUGUUGGUGGGGUAAUGGCCUACCAAGGCGACGACGGGUAGCCGGCCUGAGAGGGUGACCGGCCACACUGGGACUGAGACACGGCCCAGACUCCUACGGGAGGCAGCAGUGGGGAAUCUUGCACAAUGGGCGAAAGCCUGAUGCAGCGACGCCGCGUGAGGGAUGACUGCCUUCGGGUUGUAAACCUCUUUCAGCAGGGACGAAGCGAAAGUGACGGUACCUGCAGAAGAAGCACCGGCCAACUACGCGCCAGCAGCCGC
rnacentral:rRNA from 1 species